rnacentral:rRNA from 1 species
CCUACGGGAGGCAGCAGUGAGGAAUAUUGGUCAAUGGGCGAGAGCCUGAACCCGCCAAGUCGCGUGAGGGAAGACGGUCCUAUGGAUUGUAAACCUCUUUUGCCGGGGAGCCAAAAGCGGUACGCGUACCGCAUCGAGAGUACCCGGAGAAAAAGCAUCGGCUAACUCCCUACCAGCAGCCGCGGUAAUAAGGAGGAUGCGAGCGUUAUUCGGAUUUUUUGGGUUUAAAGGGUGCGCAGGCGGCGAGUUAAGUCAGCGGUAAAAUUUCGGGGCUCAACCCCUAGAAGCCAUUGAAACUGGCUUGAUAGAGUGGGCGAGAAGUAUGCGGAAUGCGUGGUGUAGCGGGGAAAUGCAUAGAUAUCACGCAGAACUCCGAGUGCGAAGGCAGCAUACCGGCGCCCAACUGACGCUCAGGCACGAAAGCGUGGGUAUCGAACAGGAUUAGAUACCCCAGUAGUC